AUUGAACGCUGGCGGCAUGCUUUACACAUGCAAGUCGAACGGUAACAGGCCGCAAGGUGCUGACGAGUGGCGAACGGGUGAGUAAUGCAUCGGAACGUGCCCAGUCGUGGGGGAUAACUACUCGAAAGAGUAGCUAAUACCGCAUACGAUCUAUGGAUGAAAGCGGGGGACCGUAAGGCCUCGCGCGAUUGGAGCGGCCGAUGUCAGAUUAGGUAGUUGGUGGGGUAAAGGCUCACCAAGCCAACGAUCUGUAGCUGGUCUGAGAGGACAACCAGCCACACUGGGACUGAGACACGGCCCAGACUCCUACGGGAGGCAGCAGUGGGGAAUUUUGGACAAUGGGCGCAAGCCUGAUCCAGCAAUGCCGCGUGCAGGAAGAAGGCCUUCGGGUUGUAAACUGCUUUUGUACGGAACGAAACGGCUCUGGUUAAUACCCGGGGCUAAUGACGGUACCGGAAGAAUAAGCACCGGCUAACUAUGUG
rnacentral:rRNA from 1 species